UUUGCCAACAACAUCUCGACGGUUUUGUGGAGAGCCUUCGAUCUGCUGCCAUGUUGGUUAGAUAUUUUUUAAUACAAAAUUUUUUUAAAAAAAAAAUAGAGAUAAAAAACUAAAAUGUGACAGCAAAUUUACGAAUUCCUCAAUAAGGCUUCGUUGGGGAUCUUCCCGUUAAAGCUUUUCCCCAAACAAGUCUUUUUUUAAAAGAAAAACGAUUAAACUAAAUUGCAUGCUGUGUUCUCAAACUAUAAAGCGCAUGACACGUUGGUCCUCAAACUUUAAUUUAUUAUAAGUUUUAGCUCAAACUUUUGAAUUGUAGCAGUAAAGUUUCACAACUUAAUUUAGUUUACUAAAUAUUAAUGUGUCGCUAAUAUAGUUAAUAUGGCAUCUCAAUUAUUAUCGAAUAUUAAUUAUAAUAUUGAUAUAUCGCUUUUACAUUAGCAAAACAUCAAUAUAGUCAAUUAAAUUGGUUGUGAGACUUGAUUGCAAGAAUUAAGAGAUCGACUUCGAGCCAAAAAUUAUAAUAUAUUAAAAUUUGAGGGCCAAAGUGUCACACAACUCAUAUAUAGUUUGUGAACCAAAUAUGCAACUUAGGGAAACAAUUAUUAUAUAUUAUUUUACGUGAUAUGAGAAUGAGAGAUCAUGAAUUCAAAUCUUUCUAGACGAGUCUAGACAUGAGAGUGAGUGUCUUGAUAUAGUAUUUCUUUGUACCUGUACUAUUUCGACAAUAAUUUAUCAAAUAAUAUUACUACAGGCACUUAUCAAAUAAUAUUACUAUAAACACAUCUGGCGUCACGGAUAUGAACACAGAAUAUGAAACACGUCACUACUCGAACACGGCGAUCCGACAGUUUUAAAAUACUUAGGACAUAGAGAUUGCACAUAGAAUAUACUAUUAUUCUAUAACAACGUAUAUUUAUUAUAAAAAAUAUUAAUUUUACUAAAAUAUUAUUAUAUUUUUUAAACGAAUGAAACUAAAUAAAAUUCUGAUUAAUAAUUCAUAUAUUAAGAAAAGAAAAUCUCCAUA
rnacentral:lncRNA from 1 species